rnacentral:rRNA from 1 species
AUUGAACGCUGGCGGCAGGCCUAACACAUGCAAGUAGAACGAGUGGCGGACGGGUGAGUAAUGUCUGGGAAACUGCCCGAUGGAGGGGGAUAACUACUGGAAACGGUAGCUAAUACCGCAUACCAUCGGAUGUGCCCAGAUGGGAUUAGCUAGUAGGUGUGGUAACGGCUCACCCGGGCGACGAUCCCUAUCUGGUCUGAGAGGAUUACCAGCCACACUGGAACUCAGACACGGUCCAGACUCCUACGUGAGGCAGCAGUGGGGAAUAUUGCACCAUGGGCGCAAGCCUGAUGCAGCCAUGCCGCGUGUAUGAAGAAGUCCUUCGGUUUGUAAAGUACUUUCAGCGAGGAGGCGUUACUCGCAGAAGAAGCACCGGCUAACUCCGUGCCAGCAGCCGCGGUAAUUC